rnacentral:rRNA from 1 species
ACGAACGCUGGCGGCAUGCCUAACACCUGCCAGUCGCACGAGACCUUCGGGUCUAGUGGCGCACGGGUGCGUAACGCGUGGGAACCUGCCCUUAGGUUCGGAAUAACUCCCCGAAAGGGGUGCUAAUACCGGAUAAUGUCUUCGGACCAAAGAUUUAUCGCCUUUGGAUGGGCCCGCGUUGGAUUAGCUAGUUGGUAGGGUAAAAGCCUACCAAGGCGACGAUCCAUAGCUGGUCUGAGAGGAUGAUCAGCCACACUGGGACUGAGACACGGCCCAGACUCCUACGGGAGGCAGCAGUGGGGAAUAUUGGACAAUGGGCGAAAGCCUGAUCCAGCAAUGCCGCGCGAGUGAUGAAGGCCUUAGGGUUGUAAAGCUCUUUUACCCGGGAUGAUAAUGACAGUACCGGGAGAAUAAGCUCCGGCUAACUCCGUG